rnacentral:pre_miRNA from 1 species
AGCUUUCCCAAUCCGUGAUGAGAUUUCGUCCGAUACCAACCCAUUAGGUCUGAUCAAACUUCGAAAUAAGUGAAGUU